AUGGCAAUGCCGAGAGCCUAGGUACAAUACGAAAACACGAUGCGUUUCUCCCACGGCGGUUGAGGGACUGUGGAUGAGUUUAUUUUUUCUAAAAGGUAGUUAAACAGAAGGGUAUCGAAGGGGGGGGGGCUACUGUCGUAGUAGCAGUCGAUACCAGUCCCCUUGUCAGUGCUUUAGUUGAACGUUGUUAUUUCUACGGAACGCCGUUUGACCCACUUUUGUUUUAGUUAACUCUUUUUCGAUGGUUGUCCGUUUAUUUUGCAAAUGAAUAGAUAACUGGCAUAGCCAUCUAGCAGUCAAAAUCGUCACUUGAAGGAGGGAUUUGAAUAGAUGACGCCUUUUAGGGAGGCCUAACUAUUGUUGAUCGAUUGUUAGGUCGAUUUCGAUCGCCAUUGUACAGUUAAUGGCGCCGCGCAUUGGAAGUAUAUGCAUGUGUGAAUUUCGAUGAGCGUUGCACACCUUGGAGGCGUUGGUUAUCGUAUUGAUAAUAAAGGUAUGUAUGGCAAUUAGCUAUGGAAUAAUUUCUCACUUUGUUCUUAGACUCGCCAGUUGAAGAUACGUGUGCACAGUGUUAGUGCUUGGGUGCCUCGAGAGGAAAUUGCAGAACAUAGCCAUACAGUAUGGUGUGCUUCAACAAUGUCCAACCAUGGAAUGAGUCACAUGUGACCGAGACAAACAAAUGAUGCUUUUGCAUUUUGAAUGUUUAAAUUUUUAUAAUUGUAGUUCACAUAAACUUCUGGCCUGCGUCACCCAAUAGGGUCCAGCAAUUGCAUGGUCCACUUUGACUGUGUAGCGCAACCUACUUCCUUCCUAACUAAAAAUGUUUGGCUAUGUUAUAGCUUCAACAGUGUUGGAACAACUUGUUGUGUGGAGGUGAAGCUUCAAUUUUGGACUUGAUUUGUCAACUGUUGGUUGAGAUAGCAAAAGAGAUCAACAUUUUAUUCCGCGAGCCACGACCAACGAGCCAAUGACCAACCCAGUGGAAUCCUGGAUACUUAAUCAUGUGUGGUACCAAUCAUGGCUUAAUGGGUGAGCAUCAGAUUGUGGCACUGGAUUUUUGUGGAUCAAAUCCCAUUAGAGGUUUUUCAGGUAUGGUCACUAUCAGCAGCUUUAAACACAGUGUUCAUCGCAAAAUACACCAAUCCCAGAGAACACUCCAAUGGAAAAUAUUGGGAAUUUCUGCCCUUCCACCCUGAACUUCACAAUGCUGGGUUAGACAGUACGAAAAAUUCUUCUCUCGGAAGUUAAUUACUUUGGACUUGCUUGAGAUGACCCUUGAGGCAAGAAGCUUUUUCUGCUUUGUGUGGACAGGAACACCAGAGGCAUUGAUGUCUGAAACCAACAAGUGUUUUGCAAAGAAAGUAAAAAGAAACAUUGAUGUUGGUUAUCCUCUUAGUGAUGCUGAAGCCUGGUAUCUUAUUGAUCCAUUGGUUCUAUUCGUGGGGAAAAGAAUGUUGUGUGGGAGAAACAGGAUCACAAUUGAACAAAAUAAUCGCAAAGUCGUGGUAAUAAUUCGCGAGAAAUAUGCUAAUAGGGUUUCGCUGUGUUAAUUUAAAUUCACAAUCAUAGUGAGUUCGAAGAGGAUAUUGAUGGAGGUUUGGUGUUAAAAAAGUAUGUGUACAAUGUUGGAAGGGCGACUGAAGAUUUCCGGAUUCUUCUAUUAUCUCACAUGUUAUGGUAUUUAUAAAAAUAUGUUGCAGUGCA